rnacentral:tRNA from 1 species
GCGCCUGUAGCUCAGUUGGAUAGAGCAACGGAUUUCUAAUCCGUAGGUCGCAGGUUCGAAUCCUGCCAGGCGUGCCA